AUGAAGGAUGUGUAUGGUGAUGCUCAGUACAAUGCGAGCAAGCAGCCCAAAUGGGAGCUUUUUGCAAAGAAACCAAUGUUUGUGAAGGUUCCACUUCAAGGGGCGAAUGAAUGUGGCCAUUAUACUCUGAAGUAUGCGGGAUCCUAUGAUGGUGAAAAGAUCGUUGAGAACAUUCGAGAUAAUGACCCUCGUAUUGUUGAUUGGAAUGCUGAGGAUCUGUAUAGAGUUGUGUUCAACCGGAAUAACCAGCUUCUGGUGACGGAGUUUCCCAAGGAGGUUCAGGCUUUGGCUCGUGGUGCAUAG
rnacentral:rRNA from 1 species